rnacentral:rRNA from 1 species
GGCUAACGCUGGCGGCGCGCCUAACACAUGCAAGUCGAACGAACCCUUCGGGGUUAGUGGCAGACGGGUGAGUAACGCGUGGAUAAUGUGCCUCUUUUCUGGGGAUACCGUUCCGAAAGGAACGUUAAUACCGAAGGUGCUUGUUUGGCGGCAUCGUCGAGCAAGUAAACUGUUGGGGUGAAGGGAGCAGUGCGCGUUCUAUCAGCUAGUUGGUGAGGUAACGACUCACCAAGGGUAGGACAGAUAACUGGUCUGGGUGGAUGGCCAGUCACACUGGAAGAGAGACACGGUACAGACACCUACGGGAGGAGGCGGGGAGGAAUCAUGCACAAUGGGCGAAAGACUGAUGCAGCGACGGCGCGUGAGGGAUGAAGGCGUUCGGGUUGCAGACCUCUGUCAGUAGGGAAGAAGAAUGACGGUACCUACUGAAGAAGCUUCGGCUAACUACGUG